GUGCUUGCAUCAGCAGCACACAUACUAAAAUUGGAACGACACAGAGAUUAGCAUGGACCCUGCACAAGGAUAACAUGUGAAUUCAUGAAGCAUUCCAUAUUAAA
ensembl:snRNA U6 U6 spliceosomal RNA